GACAGAGGUGCCGAGCGUUAGGCGGAAUCACUGGGCUUAAAGCGUGUGUAGGCGGGCGGGCAAGUACCUUGUGAAAUCCCCCGGCUCAACCGGGGAACGGGCGCGGAUACGACUCUCCUUGAGGGGCGUAGGGGGACCUGGAACUUCCGGUGGAGCGGUGAAAUGCGUUGAGAUCGGAAGGAACGCCCGUGGCGAAAGCGAGGUCCUGGACGCCUACUGACGCUGAGACGCGAAAGCCAGGGGAGCGAACGGG
rnacentral:rRNA from 1 species